AGAGUUUGAUCAUGGCUCAGAACAAACGCUGGCGGCGUGCUUAACACAUGCGAGUCGUACGAGAAAGUCCGCUUCGGCGGAUGAGUAAAGUGGCGCACGGGUGCGUAACACGUGGGUAAUCUGCCCUUCAGUGGGGAAUAACUCGCCGAAAGGCGGGCUAAUACCGCAUAAUACCGUUUCCACCCCGGUGGGACGGUCAAAGACAGCCUCUGUUUACAAGCUGUCGCUGAAGGAUGAGCCCGCGGCCUAUCAGCUAGUUGGUGGGGUAAUGGCUCACCAAGGCUGUGACGGGUAGCUGGUCUGAGAGGAUGGCCAGCCACACUGGAACUGAGACACGGUCCAGACUCCUACGGGAGGCAGCAGUGGGGAAUCUUGGGCAAUGGGGGCAACCCUGACCCAGCGACGCCGCGUGAGUGAGGAAGGUCUUCGGAUCGUAAAGCUCUGUCGGAUGGGAAGAAAUGUGUGGAAGUGAACAGCUUCCAUGCUUGACGGUACCAUCAGAGGAAGCACCGGCUAACUCCGUGCCAGCAGCCGCGGUAAUACGGGGGGUGCAAGCGUUGUUCGGAAUCAUUGGGCGUAAAGGGCGUGUAGGCGGCUGGAUAAGUCAGAUGUGAAAUCCCUGGGCUUAACCCAGGAAGUGCAUUUGAAACUGUCCGGCUUGAGUGAGGGAGAGGAGAGUGGAAUUCCUGGUGUAGAGGUGAAAUUCGUAGAUAUCAGGAGGAACACCGGUGGCGAAGGCGACUUUCUGGCCCUAUACUGACGCUGAGACGCGAAAGCGUGGGGAGCAAACAGGAUUAGAUACCCUGGUAGUCCACGCUGUAAACGAUGUUCACUAGGUGUUGGGGGUAUUGACCCCCUCAGUGCCGUAGCUAACGCUUUAAGUGAACCGCCUGGGGAGUACGGUCGCAAGACUAAAACUCAAAUGAAUUGACGG
rnacentral:rRNA from 1 species